rnacentral:rRNA from 1 species
GACGAACGCUGGCGGCGUGCCUAAUACAUGCAAGUAGAACGCUGAGGGAGGAGCUUGCUUCUCCGGAUGAGUUGCGAACGGGUGAGUAACGCGUAGGUAACCUGCCUGGUAGCGGGGGAUAACUAUUGGAAACGAUAGCUAAUACCGCAUAAGAGUAGAUGUUGCAUGACAUUUGCUUAAAAGGUGCAAUUGCAUCACUACCAGAUGGACCUGCGUUGUAUUAGCUAGUUGGUGGGGUAACGGCUUACCAAGGCGACGAUACAUAGCCGACCUGAGAGGGUGAUCGGCCACACUGGGACUGAGACACGGCCCAGACUCCUACGGGAGGCAGCAGUAGGGAAUCUUCGGCAAUGGACGGAAGUCUGACCGAGCAACGCCGCGUGAGUGAAGAAGGUUUUCGGAUCGUAAAGCUCUGUUGUAAGAGAAGAACGAGUGUGAGAGUGGAAAGUUCACACUGUGACGGUAUCUUACCAGAAAGGGACGGCUAACUACGU